GAUGAACGCUAGCUACAGGCUUAACACAUGCAAGUCGCGGGGCAGCAUGGGGGUUGCUUGCAAUCCCCGAUGGCGACCGGCGCACGGGUGAGUAACGCGUAUCCAACCUGCCCUUCACCACGGGAUAACCCGGCGAAAGUCGGACUAAUACCGUAUGUUGUCCAUUGACGGCAUCCGAUUUGGACGAAAGGCUUGGCGGUGAGGGAUGGGGAUGCGUCCGAUUAGCCAGACGGCGGGGUAACGGCCCACCGUGGCUACGAUCGGUAGGGGUUCUGAGAGGAAGGUCCCCCACACUGGAACUGAGACACGGUCCAGACUCCUACGGGAGGCAGCAGUGAGGAAUAUUGGUCAAUGGGCGUAAGCCUGAACCAGCCAAGUAGCGUGCAGGAUGACGGCCCUAUGGGUUGUAAACUGCUUUUAUGCGGGGAUAAAGUGGCCCACGUGUGGGCUUUUGCAGGUACCGCAUGAAUAAGGACCGGCUAAUUCCGUA
rnacentral:rRNA from 1 species